rnacentral:lncRNA from 1 species
CAGAAUAUUAAAAAUUCAGAUUAUCCAAAACAACCAAAGACUUAAAACAAGUAAAAACCCAUAACUUAGUCGACUUCCUCAAUUUUGGGACCAGCGCUGCCUCCAGCACCUGAUGGGAUGUCAUCAUCAUCCAUAGGAGCACCUUCACCUCCUGCACCCUGGUACAUCUUUGCAAUGAUGGGGUUGCAGAUGCUCUCCAACUCCUUCAUUUUGUCUUCAAAUUCAUCGGCCUCGGCAAGCUGGUUGCUUUCCAGCCACUGGAUACUGCCCUCAAUGGCUUCCUCUACCUUGGUCUUGUCAUCUGCGGAGAGCUUGGAAGCUAUCUUCUCAUCCUUCACAGUGUUCCUCAUGUUGUAUGCAUAGUUCUCCAAUGCAUUCUUUGCUUCAACCUUCUUCUUGUGUUCUUCAUCCUCUGACUUGUACUUCUCAGCUUCCUGGACCAUCUUCUCAAUUUCCUCCUUGGAGAGUCUACCCUUGUCAUUGGUGAUGGUGAUCUUGUUCUUCUGUCCAGUAGUCUUGUCCUCAGCAGACACAUUUAGGAUACCAUUGGCAUCAAUGUCAAAGCAAACAGUGAUCUGAGGAACACCCCUUGGAGCCGGAGGAAUGCCAGAGAGCUCAAACUUACCCAGUAAGUUGUUGUCCCUGGUCCUGGUUCUCUCACCUUCAUAAACCUGAAUCAACACACCAGGCUGGUUGUCGGAGUAGGUGGAAAAGACCUGCUCUUUCUUGGUAGGGAUAGUUGUGUUUCUUUGAAUCAAGACGGUCAUGACACCUCCAGCUGUUUCCAAACCAAGGGAAAGAGGGGUAACAUCCAAUAGAAGAAGAUCCUGCACCUUCUCAUUGCCUUCACCACUUAAGAUUGCUGCUUGUACAGCAGCCCCAUAAGCCACAGCCUCAUCAGGAUUAAUACUUUUGCAGAGCUCCUUUCCAUUGAAAAAAUCCUGCAACAGCUGCUGAACCUUUGGAAUCCUGGUAGAUCCACCAACAAGAACAACAUCAUGGAUAGUGCUUUUGUCCAUCUUUGCGUCCCUCAAACACUUCUCAACAGGCUCCAUACACUUCCUGAAGAGAUCCAUGUUAAGCUCCUCAAAUCUGGCUCUAGUGAUGGUAGAGUAGAAAUCUAUGCCCUCAAACAAAGAAUCAAUCUCAAUGGUGGUUUGAGCAGUGGAUGAGAGGGUCCUCUUCGCUCUCUCACAAGAUGUUCUCAACCUUCUAAGAGCCCUUGGGUUGCCAGUAAUGUCUUUCUUGUUCUUCCUCUUAAAUUCCUGAACAAAGUGGUUAACCAUUCUGUUGUCAAAGUCUUCACCACCGAGAUGGGUAUCACCAGCAGUAGCCUUGACCUCAAAGAUACCCUCCUCAAUAGUAAGGAGAGACACAUCAAAAGUUCCACCACCAAGAUCAAAAAUCAAGACAUUCUUCUCACCGACGCUGGUUGCUUUUUUGUCUAGACCAUAAGCAAUGGCAGCAGCUGUAGGUUCAUUAAUGAUACGCAACACAUUAAUACCUGCAAUGACACCUGCAUCCUUGGUAGCUUGACGCUGAGAGUCAUUGAAGUAUGCGGGGACUGUAACCACAGCAUUCUUAACUGUUGUACCAAGGAAAGCCUCAGCAAUCUCACGCAUCUUAAUAAGAACCAUUGAAGAGAUCUCCUCAGCUGCAAAUUGCUUGUCCUCACCCUUGUAGGCAACUGUGAUCAUGGGUUUCUCGCCAGGUCCAGGGGUGAUUUUGAAUGGCCAUAGCUUAAUAUCACUCUGCACAGAGGCAUCAGAGAAUCUCCUGCCUAUCAACCUCUUGGCAUCUGUCGAACAACAAAAAUAAUAUAAGUACCAGCCAGUUCUUUAAACUAAAGAAAACGUCAACUGUUGUUGCAGGUUUAAAUUGUCAGAAACUAAAGUACAAGUGAGAAGUUUUAUAAGAUCACAGAUACAGGUAUAACCUCCCACGAAUAUUACAAACAAAAUCAAUAGCAGGCACGGGUAAACAGGUAAAAGAAACCAUUUUAGUUAAUAGUUAAGUUGUCAAAUAUUUAUGAAGAUAUUCUACAAAAGAACAAAAUAAAA